GGUCUCCGUUGGUGAACCAGCGGAGGGAUCAUUACCGAGUUUAAACUCCCAAACCCAUGUGAACAUUACCUCUAUGUUGCUUCGGCGGAGCCGCCCCGGCGCCCGGAACCCCCUGCGGUCCCGCGGCCCGGAACCAAGGCGCCCGCCGGAGGCCACAAACUCUUCUGUUUUUACAGUUUCUUCUGAGUGUGCCGCAAGGCAGUAUACAAAUGAAUCAAAACUUUCAACAACGGAUCUCUUGGUUCUGGCAUCGAUGAAGAACGCAGCGAAAUGCGAUAAGUAAUGUGAAUUGCAGAAUUCAGUGAAUCAUCGAAUCUUUGAACGCACAUUGCGCCCGCCAGAAUUCUGGCGGGCAUGCCUGUUCGAGCGUCAUUUCAACCCUCGAGCUCCCCUUUCGGGGGGAGCCCGGCGUUGGGGACCCGGCGCUAACAACGCCGGCCCCGAAAUGGAGUGGCGGCCCGUCCGCGGCGACCUCUGCGUAGUAACAACCACUCGCACCGGGACCCGGGCGCGGCCACGCCGUAAAACACCCCACCUUCCGAAUGUUGACCUCGAAUCAGGUAGGAAUACCCGCUGAACUUAAGCAU
rnacentral:rRNA from 1 species